rnacentral:rRNA from 1 species
GAUAAACGCUGGCGGCGUGCAUAACACAUGCAAGUCGAACGAUGAAGCUUAAAAGAUUUCUUCGGAAUGAACUUAAUUGGAUUAGUGGCGGACGGGUGAGUAACGCGUGAGUAACCUGCCUUGUACAAGGGGAUAGCCGUUGGAAACGACGAAUAAUACCCUAUGACAUCAAAUAAUCGCAUGAUAAUUUGAUCAAAGAUUUAUCGGUAUAAGAUGGACUUGCGUCUGAUUAGCUAGUUGGUAGAGUAAAAGCCUACCAAGGCAACGAUCAGUAGCCGGCUUGAGAGAGUGUACGGCCACAUUGGGACUGAGACACGGCCCAGACUCCUACGGGAGGCAGCAGUGGGGAAUUUUGCACAAUGGGGGAAGCCCUGAUGCAGCGACGCCGCGUGAUUGAGAAGGCCUUCGGGUUGUAAAAAUCUUUUGUAUGGGAAGAAAAUGACAGUACCAUACGAAUAAGGACCGGCUAAUUACGUG